GAACUUCGGCCCACUCUGACCUUCCAAAGGCGCACGGAGGUCCGCUCCGAGCCUGAGAACCCACGGAAGGCGCACAGCUGCAGGUCCGAAACACCCUCCGGCCUCAGCCCGGCCCAGGCCACGUAGGACCGCGCCUGCGCACUCCGUACGGGCCGCCCUGGGGCCGCCGAAGGGACCUGCAAUGCCAAGGCAAUGACAGCUUCCGGCCGCCAGGGGGAGACCUGGGUCGGGCACUGAGGAUUGGGAGAACAGAGGUUGACUGGAACCUGGGACCUUAUCUGACAAGUGUACAGUGUUAAAUCUGUGACGUAAUACCAAAACAAUUAACAAAACCUCCAAAGGCUGGGAGCUGGAGAGAUGGCUCAGCAGUGAAGAAGAGGCUUUCUCAUCCACAAAUAAGGCAGCUCCCUCUGACAAGAAGAUGAAAACCCCAGAAGUUUGCAUUAUGGAUUCCUGGUCCACAGCAAGUCCCCGCCAGAACCAAGAUUUACUCCUUUCAGACCUGUUAUUUUCCCUGCCCUGAAGACUGUGUAUUCCGUGUGAAUGGUUUCAUACAUCUUCCUUGAAUUCAA